ACAUAGAUAAACAUGUGCCUUGGUGGUUUGUUGCAGAGAUCAACCCAUCACCUAGGUAUUAAGCUCAGCAUCCAUUAGCUAUUCUUCCUGAAGCUCUCCCCCAUCCCCCAACUUACUUUCUUUUUUUUUUUUUUUCUGUGAAACAAAGUCUCACUCUGUUGCCCAAGCUGGAGUGCAGUGGCAAAAUCUCAGCUCACUGCAACUUCUGCCUCCCAGCUUCAAGCGAUUCUCCUGCCUCAGCCUCCUGAGUAGCUGGGAUUACAGGUGCGUGCCACCACACUCGGCUCAUUUUGUAUUUUUUGUGGAGAUGGGGUUUCACCAUGUAGCCAGGUUCAUCUUGAAAUCCUGACUUCAAGUGAUCCGCCUGCCUUGUCCUCCCAAAGUGCUGGGAUUACAGGUGUGAGCCACAGCGGCAACUUUAUUUUUCAUAAAGGGUUACAGACUGCAGGGUGGCCAUCCGCCACUUUCAAAAGCAUAGCCUCUGGCAGAGACCAGAGACAGGCACUUCUUUUUUUUUUCGAGAUGGAGUCUCGCUCUCUUGCCCAGGCUGGAGUGCAGUGGCACGAUCUCGGCUCACUGCAAGCUCCACCUCCCAGGUUCACGCCAUUCUCCUGCCUCAGCCUCCCGAGUAGCUGGGACUGCAGGCGCCCGCCACCACGCCCGGCUAAUUUUUUUUGUAUUUUUAGUAGAGACGGGGUUUCACUGUGUUAGGCAGGAUGGUCUCGAUCUCCUGAUCUCGUGAUCCGGAGAUAGGCACUUCUAAGGAGGAGAGGUUGGGGCAGGAGCUGUAUGCUGAAGGGGUUGGCUAAACAUACAUAUUCAACAUGUUACAGGGAGAGCUAUGAAUAUUCAUGAAGGCAGUCUUGACACAUGUGUAUUGAACGAACAUGCAUGUAACAUAGGACUCAUGUUUGCUGUAGGAUGAAGACGGUGGAGACUUAACAUUAAAAUGUAUUACAAGGUCAGGCACGGUAGCUCACGCCUAUAAUCCUAGCACUUUGUGGAGCCGAGGCGGGUGGAUCACAUGAGGUCAGGAGUUCAAGAGCAGCCUGGCCAACAUGGUGAAACCCCAACUCUACUAAAAAUAUAAAAAUUAGCCGGGCACAGUGGCGGGCGCCUGUAAUCCCAGCUACUCAGGAGGCCAAGGCAGAAGAAUUGCUUGAACUCAGGAGGCGGAGGUUGCAGUGAGCCAAGAUGGUGCCACUGGACUCCAGCCUGGGCAACAGAGUGAGACUCCAUCUCAAUAAAAUAAAUAAAAUAAAAUAAAAUGUAUUACAAUUAGGCCCCAUCUGUCAAAACAUCUUUUCAGGGCCUGAAGGCCUGCAAGUGAGCAACUUCUGAAAACCAGCCAGAGCCAGUUCAUGGUCAAUGGUCUCUUAUCAGGAGAAAGUUACUGAAAUCAGUCUCUUGUCCAGUCGGAGCUGUAGUUAUGCCUGGAAAAACAGGGGGUCAAUAAGUUGGCAUCCGUGAGCUGGAUGAGCUGCAAAGUGUAUUAAUGUUGCUUCAGGCCGGUGCUUGUUGCUGCUGGAGGAAAAGGAAAGCCUCAUUGCUGUUAGAACAUAGUUUAUUCUUUAAGUGCAGGGUCCAUGAAUUAACCCCUGCCUGGCUUGGCCUUGGGUCCUCUUUAUAAUUUGGUAUCUUGUUGCCACAGAGUCUGUUCUGUCAUUUUUUUUGAGACAGGGUCUGGCUCUGUCACCCAGGCUGGAAUGCAGUGGCAUGAUCUUGGCUCACUGCAGCCUUCACCUCCCUGGCUUAAGCCAUCUUCUCAACUCAGCCUCUCAGGUAGCUGGGACUACAGGCACAAACCACCAUGCACGCUGCCGUGCUCAGCUAAUUUUUUUUUUUUUGAGACAGGGUCUCACUUUAUCACCCAGGCUGGUGUGGAGUGGUGCAGUCUCAGCCCACUGCAGCCUCGACCUCCUGGGCUCAAGCAAUCCUCCCACCUCAGGCCCCCAAGUAGCUGGGAGUACAGGUGUGUGUCACCACAUCCGGCUGAUUUUUUGCUUUUUUUGUAAAGAUGGGGUUUCACCAUGUUGCCCAGGCUGGUCUCAAACUCCUGGCUUCAAGCAAUCUUCCUGCUUCGGCCUCCCAAAGUGCUGGGAUUACAGACAGGUCUCACUCUGUUGCCCAUGCUGGAGUGGAGUGGUGCGAUCACAGCUCACUGCAGCCUUGACCUCCUAGGCUCAAGAGAUCCUCCUGCCUCAGCUUUUGUUUUGUUUUGUGUGGGGAAAAGCAAGAGAGAUCAGAUUGUCACUGUGUCUGUGUAGAAAGAAGUAGACAUGGGAGACUCCAUUUUGUUAUGUACUAAGAAAAAUUCUUCUGCCUUGAGAUUCUGUGACCUUACCCCCAACCCCGUGCUCUCUGAAACAUGUGCUGUGUCAAACUCAGGGUUAAAUGGAUUAAGGGCGGUGCAAGAUGUGCUUUGUUAAACAGAUGCUUGAAGGCAGCACGCUCCUUAAGAGUCAUCACCACUCCCUAAUCUCAAGUACCCAGGGACACAAAAACUGCGGAAGGCCGCAGGGACCUCUGCCUAGGAAAGCCAGGUAUUGUCCAAGGUUUCUCCCCAUGUGACAGUCUGAAAUAUGGCCUUGUGGGAAGGGAAAGACCUGACCAUCCCCCAGCCCGACACCCGUAAAGGGUCUGUGCUGAGGAGGAUUAGUAUAAGAGGAAGGCAUGCCUCUUUGCAGUUGAGACAAGAGGAAGGCAUCUGUCUCCUGCCCGUCCCUGGGCAAUGGAAUGUCUCGGUAUAAAACCCGAUUGUACGUUCCAUCUACUGAGAUAGGGAAAAACCGCCUUAGGGCUGGAGGUGGGACCUGCGGGCAGCAAUACCGCUUUGUAAAGCAUUAAGAUGUUUAUGUGUAUGCAUAUCUAAAAGCACAGCACUUAAUCCUUUACCUUGUCUAUGAUGCAAAGACCUUUGUUCACGUGUUUGUCUGCUGACCCUCUCCCCACAAUUGUCUUGUGACCUUAACACAUCCCCCUCUCGGAGAAACACCCACGAAUGAUCAAUAAAUACUAAGAGAACUCAGAGGCUGGCGGGAUCCUCCAUAUGCUGAAC
rnacentral:lncRNA from 1 species